GGAGCCCAAGGGUAUUCUGGGAGCCCACCCCAGGACAAUGGCAGGGCAAAACCAGUGAGCAAGGCAGAAAAUUCCCUGAAAUUCUCCACUGAGGCCCAGCUGUUCCUCUCCUUGAAAAGUCAAGGCUUGGCUCAAGCCAGAUAGCACCUGAGGACAGAACACAUCAGGAGCCAAGUUACACCCUGUUUAACCCUGCCUUCAAAGGGACGACUCUGUAAGAUUCUCUGCUACUUAUUCAAGGUGACACGAUGCCCUUCACAGUCCACCUGAGGUGCCGCCUUCCCUCUGCCAUAAGGAGUUUGUUUCUACAAAAGAAACCAAACAUCAGAAAUACAUCCAGCAUGGCUGGAGAGCUCCGACCAGCCAGCCUGGUGGUCCUGCCCAGGUCCCUUGCUCCAGCUUUUGAAAGAUUCUGCCAGGCCAACACUGGUCCUCUACCCCUGCUGGGCCAGAGUGAGCCAGAAAAGUGGAUGCUGCCCCCUCAAGGUGCUAUCUCAGAGACCAGGAUGGGCCAUCCCCAGUUCUGGAAAUACGAGUUCGGUGCCUGCACCGGCAGCCUGGCUUCGCUGGAGCAGUACUCGGAGCAGCUGAAGGACAUGGUGGCCUUCUUCCUGGGCUGCAGCUUCUCCCUGGAGGAGGCCUUGGAGAAAGCGGGGCUCCCCAGAAGAGACCCAGCAGGUCACAGCCAGGCGGGUGCAUACAAGACAACAGUGCCUUGUGUUACCCAUGCUGGCUUCUGCUGCCCUCUGGUGGUCACAAUGAGGCCCAUUCCCAAGGACAAACUGGAAGGGCUGAUGCGGGCCUGCUGCUCCCUCGGGGGUGAGCAGGGGCAGCCUGUUCACAUCGGCGACCCAGAACUGUUGGGAAUCAAAGAGCUUUCCAAACCUGCCUACGGGGAUGCCAUGGUGUGUCCCCCAGGGGAGGUUCCAGUGUUCUGGCCUUCUCCGCUGACCAGUCUCGGAGCUGUCAGCAGCUGUGAGACCCCACUGGCUUUUGCCAGCAUCCCAGGCUGCACAGUUAUGACUGACCUGAAGGAUGCAAAGGCUCCACCUGGUUGUCUCACCCCAGAGAGAAUUCCAGAGGUCCAUCACAUUUCCCAAGAUCCUCUGCACUACAGCAUCGCGUCAGUCUCCGCUUCUCAGAAGAUCAGAGAACUAGAGUCUAUGAUCGGCAUAGACCCAGGGAACCGGGGGAUUGGGCACCUGCUCUGUAAAGAUGAGCUGCUGAAGGCCUCUCUCUCGCUGUCCCAUGCCCGCUCAGUGCUCAUCACCACUGGGUUCCCCACACAUUUCAAUCAUGAGCCUCCAGAAGAGACAGAUGGCCCACCAGGAGCUGUUGCUCUGGUCGCCUUCCUGCAGGCCUUGGAGAAGGAGGUCGCCAUAAUCGUUGACCAGAGAGCCUGGAACUUGCACCAGAAGAUUGUUGAAGAUGCUGUUGAGCAAGGUGUUCUGAAGACUCAGAUCCCGAUAUUAACUUACCAAGGUGGAUCAGUGGAAGCUGCUCAGGCAUUCCUGUGCAAAGAUGGGGACCCGCAGACACCUAGAUUUGACCACCUGGUGGCCAUAGAGCGUGCCGGAAGGGCUGCCGAUGGCAAUUACUACAAUGCAAGGAAGAUGAACAUCAAGCACUUGGUUGACCCCAUUGACGAUCUUUUUCUUGCUGCGAAGAAGAUUCCUGGAAUCUCAUCAACUGGAGUCGGUGAUGGAGGCAACGAGCUUGGGAUGGGUAAAGUCAAGGAGGCUGUGAGGAGGCACAUACGGCACGGGGAUGUCAUCGCCUGCGACGUGGAGGCUGACUUUGCCGUCAUUGCUGGUGUUUCUAACUGGGGAGGCUAUGCCCUGGCCUGCGCACUCUACAUCCUGUACUCAUGUGCUGUCCACAGUCAGUACCUGAGGAAAGCAGUGGGACCCUCCAGGGCACCUGGAGAUCAGGCCUGGACUCAGGCCCUCCCGUCGGUCAUUAAGGUAACAAACCCCAGCCAGCCGCUCGCCUGGAAGCAGCUUUUACCCUGGAUAAGCAGCAGGCCUGAGGUCCCAAGCCGUAAGCCGAGGGCUGGCACCCUGCUGCCCCUCAAAAGCCAGAGGCAGAGCCAGCCUUAAAGCAAAGGUCUCCUGGAUUGGGUGCCCUUUAAGCUACUCGCCGUUCUGAAUCGUGUGGCAGGCCUGAUCCAAGUGACCAUUUUCCUUCUAGUUUGACUUUGGGUGAGUUGCUUAGCUUCUCUGAGCCUCGUUUUCUUCAUCUGUAAAAUGGGGGUGGUCAGCAUUGUUGUUGGAGGAACCGAAUGCCUCACCCACGGUGGGUACUUCAUACUGUUAGUGGUGGGCAGGUGUCCUGUCAGCCCCCUCCAAGGAAUUCACCACCCAGCGAGGCCGCUAAAACCUCCAGAGUAAGUCAAUCAGCCAUACUAAGGAAAGUGUUAAGGGGGACAGACAAGGUGAGAAGAGAAUCCUGUGGGCUGGAGGCUGCAAGGAAUAAGCCAAGUAGAAGGAGAGGAAUCCCAGCAGGAGGAAUGGGGGGAGCAGGGGCUUGGGAGAUGAGGACAGGCUUAGUGAUGGUUUGUGGGAGACAGCUCUUGAGGUGGAGAGCAGGAGGUAGGGGGUGAGACAAAAGUAGAAGAGGGCUUCAGACCCCAGGGCCCACAAGGAGGAGGUCCAUGAGCCCCUGAAGCUGUUUGCACAAUUGUUCCUGUACAUGUAUUUUUCUGCGCAAGACUCUGUGGUUACAUCAGAUUCUUCAAGUAGUCUGGGGCCAUUAAGAAUCCCUGGUCCAGCUGGGUGUGGUGACUCAUGCCUAUAAUCUCAGCACUUUGGGAGGCCAAGGCAGGAGGAUCACCUGAGCCCAGAAGUUUGAGACCAGCCUGGACAACAUGGCUCUAACCCCCCUCCUCUGGGGCUCCUCAAGGAGAUGGGACCUGCCCCUCUUGGAGGAGAAGCUGGUGGACCAGACUUGCGGGACAUUCACAAUGCCUCAGUGCUUAACGGGACACCUACUUGGGGAAUAUUCCCAGG